UACGUAGGGCGCAAGCGUUUAUCCGGAAUUAUUGGGCGUAAAGAGCUCGUAGGCGGUUUGUCGCGUCUGCCGUGAAAGUCCGGGGCUCAACUCCGGAUCUGCGGUGGGUACGGACAGACUAGAGUGAUGUAGGGGAGACGUGGAAUUCCUGGUGUAGCGGUGAAAUGCGUAGAUAUCUGGAGGAACACCGGUGGCGAAGGCGGCAUCCUGGACCGGUAUUGACGCUGAGGCGCGAAAGCCAGGGGAGCAAACGGG
rnacentral:rRNA from 1 species